rnacentral:rRNA from 1 species
AUGCGUUUGAGCUUUGCAGCCGAGGACCUCAUCAAGAAUGACCAAGUGCAAGCCAUCAUCGGGGGCCCUCAGCCACUUACCAAAGCAGAUCACGGCAUACACCUAGCCCAGAACAACCAUAUUCCAUUUCUCUCGUACAACAUUUCCCCAAUAUCAUGCGUCUUCUGGCUUGAAGAAACUGCAACGGCUUCCGUAGGCCAUCCGAAGAUUGGAUUUACAUUUGGAUCAAGUGACAGUAUGAUAUUUCUUUACCCAAAAACCGUGCGAAGAAAUGACAUGAAACUAGAUACACAAAAUUCUAGUCAAGAUUGCGAAGGGCAGACAGUGUUGAAGAUUGCCGUGCCACUAAAAAAUGGUUUUCAUGAAUUUGUGGAGGUUACUGGUCCUAUUUCUGAGAAACAAAACAUCACUGGCUAUAGCAUUGAUAUCUUCGAGGCAGCUAUGAGGACUCUACAUCCUGUUCCAUGCUAUGAGUUUAUUGUUUUUGACGGUCCUUAUGAUGAACUAGUGUAUGAUGGUGCAGUAGGCGAUGUGACCAUAACCGCGCAACGAGUUACAGUCGCAGACUUUACGGUGCCAUACACACAGUCUGGUGUGUCUAUGCUUGUGCUUACCGAGGAUGAACCAAACACCAUUAGUUGGACAUUUGUAAAGCCAUUGAGUCAAAGUAUUAGAAGCCCCUUGACAAAAAUUGUUGUGGUGAUAUGGUGCUUUGUUGUGUUGAUUCUAGUACAGAGCUAUACAGCUAGCUUGUCAUCCAUGUUGACUGCAAAGCGGCUCCGCCCUAGGGUGUCAAAUCUAGACCAACUUCAACGGAACGGCGACUUUGUAGGAUACCAAGAUGAUUCAUUUGUGCGGUCCUUCUUGAUAAAUCGUCAUAAUAUCAGUGAAAGUAGGUUAAGAAACUACAGCACCAAAGAAGAAUAUGAUGUUGCUUUAAGGAAGGGGUCCAAGAAUGGAGGGGUGUCGGCCAUCGUCGAUGAGAUCCCAUAUUUAACUUCUUUCAUCUCUGAUAGUCGGUACAAAAAGGACUUUAUGAUGCUUGGGUGCAUAUACAAGACCCCUGGAUUUGGUUUUGCAUUUCGUCAAGGUUUUCCGCUAGUACAUAACCUUUCUACUGCAAUCCUAAACCUAGCAGAAGGGGUUAGUGGUUCACAAAUAGAAGUUAAAUGGUUCGGCACAACUUUACCAUCGAUUGGUGCUAGCACAAUUUCUGAAAGUGAUUCUGCGCCUCUCACAUUACAAAGCUUCUCCGGACUCUUUGUGAUCACUGGAUCCAUUUCAACUCUUAUGCUACUGAUAGGCAUUGUGAAGUUGUUUAAUGACAAAAGCAACACCUCUAGAAACACUCUUCGUGACCAACCCCUUGGUGAAGCUAGCAAUGAUGAUACAAAUCGAUACAAUAGUGACGAGGAUUCCCAUUCGAUACGAAUGAGUGUGGGCAACAACCCCGACCCUGACCAACAACCUCUUCGUGAAGUUAGCAAUGAUGAUUUCCAAGGUGUCCACCGGGAAGGUGGAAAUGAUGGGGGUGCCCAGCCUGAUCUAAUGGAGCAGAAUGGCAUGCACAAUGGCUCUAUGCCUGCAGGACACACUCAGAUUGAGAUGAGCAAUGUCUGA